rnacentral:lncRNA from 1 species
CUGUUAUAGCUGUCUCAUAUGAGGCUAUGUCAGUGCCUGGCAAAUACAGAAGUGGAUGGUCAGUCAUCUAUAAGAUGGAACACAGGGCACCCAAUGGAGAAGCUAGAGAAAGCACCCAAGGACCUGAAGGGGUCUGCAACCCUAUAGGUGGAACAACAAUAUGAACUAACCUCUUUUUUCCACUGGAUGGUUUUAGCUCCCUUGUCGAAGAUCCAGUGACCAUAGGUGUGUGGGUUCAUCUCUGGGUCUUCAAUUCUGUUCCAUUGGUCUACUUGUCUGUCACUUGGGUACAGAAACCAAUUAUCUUUGACAGACACUCUCAACCUCGGAAUGUACCAGUCAUCACUGAUAGCAAAGACCAGUAAUUCUACAAAAGUAUUUGACAGUUUCUUAUUUUAAAACUAAGCUAAAUACAUACUGAUAUAACAUUGCCAUUGAACGCCUAGGCAUUUAUUUCAGAGAUUUAACAAAAAAAAGCAGCUGAUAUCUACACAAGUGCCUGUAAGCAAAUGUUCAAGACAACUCUGUGCCUAAGAGCUCUGAACCA